rnacentral:lncRNA from 1 species
AAAGUUCCAGUUCAUUUUAUGCAUAGAUCAUUAUUACAUUUAUCAUUUGUAAACAUUAGACGUUUUUAUGAAAAUUAAACAUUCCCCUAUUUUUCUUUAAAUUUUAUAUAAAGCACUUUAAUGAUAGAUGCAAUCUUACUUCUCAGUUCCUAUUUUUUUAAAGAACACACAUUUACUACUGUUUAUAUGAAGGUAAUAAAUAGCUUACUGAUAUUUUAUAGAUGCAGACAAUCCAUGUGCAACCACUUCUUAUGUUUCUAUUUUAUUUCUUUAAGUGUUGCUGGAAAAGGAAGAUAGGGGUGUCCAUCUUAGUUUUUUCUCCCAAGCAAAAAUUUUAAAUGACCCCUUUAGAUAAUAUUUGAGUCCUACUGUAAAAUUGAAAAUAAUGAAUUCUUGUUCAUCUUUUGUAAUCAAGAUUUUAGG